AUACAUGCAGUCGAGCGCAGGAAGUCAUCCGAACCCUUCGGGGGGACGUUGACGGAAUGAGCGGCGGACGGGUGAGUAACACGUAAAGAACCUGCCCUCAGGUCUGGGAUAACCACGAGAAAUCGGGGCUAAUACCGGAUGGGUCAUCGGACCGCAUGGUCCGAGGAUGAAAGGCGCUCCGGCGUCGCCUGGGGAUGGCUUUGCGGUGCAUUAGCUAGUUGGUGGGGUAACGGCCCACCAAGGCGACGAUGCAUAGCCGACCUGAGAGGGUGAUCGGCCACACUGGGACUGAGACACGGCCCAGACUCCUACGGGAGGCAGCAGUAGGGAAUCUUCCACAAUGGACGAAAGUCUGAUGGAGCAACGCCGCGUGAACGAUGAAGGCCCUCGGGUCGUAAAGUUCUGUUGUAAGGGAAGAACAAGUGCCGCAGGCAAUGGCGGCACCUUGACGGUACCUUGCGAGAAAGCCACGGCUAACUACGUGCCAGCAGCCGCGGUAAUACGUAGGUGGCAAGCGUUGUCCGGAAUUAUUGGGCGUAAAGCGCGCGCAGGCGGCCUCUUAAGUCUGAUGUGAAAGCCCCCGGCUCAACCGGGGAGGGCCAUUGGAAACUGGGAGGCUUGAGUAUAGGAGAGAAGAGUGGAAUUCCACGUGUAGCGGUGAAAUGCGUA
rnacentral:rRNA from 1 species